UGCAAGUCGUGCGAGAAAGUCACCUUCGGGUGGUGAGUAACGCGGCGAACGGGUGAGUAACACGUAAGAAACCUGCCCCUAAAUCCGGAAUAACAUUGCUAACGCGGUGCUAAUACCGGAUGUGGUCUCCAGUUUGCAUGAACAGGAGAUUAAAGGUGACCUCUACUUGUAAGUUAUCGUUUAGGGAUGGUCUUGCGGACCAUUAGCUUGUUGGCGGGGUAACGGCCCACCAAGGCUGCGAUGGUUAGCCGGCUUAAGAGGGUGAUCGGCCACAUUGGGACUGAGAUACGGCCCAGACUCCUACGGGAGGCAGCAGUAGGGAAUUUUGCGCAAUGGACGAAAGUCUGACGCAGCAACGCCGCGUGAGCGAUGAAGGUUUUCGGAUUGUAAAGCUCUGUUGAGUGGGAAGAAAACUCUCCGGGAUAAUACCCUGGAGACUUGACGGUACCACUCGAGGAAGCCCCGGCUAAAUACGUGCCAGCAGCCGCGGUAAUACGUAUGGGGCAAGCGUUGUUCGGAAUCACUGGGCGUAAAGGGAGUGUAGGCGGAAAGGUAAGUUAGAAGUGUAAUCCACGGGCUUAACCCGUGACUCGCUUUUAAUACUGCUUUUCUUGAGUAUGGGAGAGGGAGAUGGAAUUCCAGGUGUAGCGGUGGAAUGCGUAGAUACCUGGAAGAACACCAGUAGCGAAGGCGGUCUCCUGGCCCAAUACUGACGCUGAGGCUCGAAAGCGUGGGGAGCGAACAGGAUUAGAUACCCUGGUAGUCCACGCCGUAAACGAUGGACACUAGAUGUUGGCCUCUUCGGGGGUCGGUGUCGUAGCUAACGCGUUAAGUGUCCCGCAUGGGAAGUACGCUCGGCAAGAGUGAAACUCAACGGAAUUGACGGGGGCCCGUACAAGCGGUGGAGCAUGUGCUUUAAAUUUUCGAUGCAACGCGAAGAAACUUACUGGGACUUGACCUGGGGGUGAAAGUUUCAGAGAUGAAAACCCUCCUUCGGGAACGCCCUACACAGGUGCUGCAUGGUUGUCGUCAGCUCGUGUCGUGAGAUGUUGGGUUAAGUCCCGCAACGAGCGCAACC
rnacentral:rRNA from 1 species